AGAAUGUUUACCUCAUAUCGAAUUUUCCUACAAUCGCUCCGUCCAUACUGCUACUAUGUUUUCUCUCUUUGAAGUAGUUUAUGGCUUUAAUCCAUUAACUCCCCUUGAUUUAUUGCCAUUUCCUAACAAUCAUUUUGUGCAUGUAGAUGCUAAGAAAAUGACCAAAUAUGUCAAGGAGCUCUAUCAAAAAGUGCGAGCUAAUAUUGAAGCCCGAACUGAGAGUUAGGUUCAAAGGGCGAACAAAGGAAGAAAAGGGGUAAUCUUUGAACCCAGUGAUUGAGAUUGGAUUCAUAUGAGGAAAGAACGGUUUCUAGCUCAACGACGAUCUAAGUUGUUACCACGAGGAGAUGGUCCAUUCCAAGUUAUUGAAUGGAUCAAUGAAAAUUCAUAUCGACUUGACUUACCGGGUGUCCCUUCAUCUCACAACCGUUACAUUUCAAGGCUGUUACAACUUAAUGAAAGUGACUUUUCAAGUGUUUUUUUCAGUUACAAAGAAAGGAGCUAUUACAAAGGAGGUUUCAUACAUUGAUUAAGGAGUUUUAAGGAGCAUUUUAACACCUUUUUAAAUCUGACAGCAACCUCUUCACCUACCAGUUGAUUUUGUUCUUUCAAAUAUUAAAACAAGCAU